UACGUAGGUGGCAAGCGUUGUCCGGAAUUAUUGGGCGUAAAGCGCGCACAGGCGGUCCUUUAAGUCUGAUGUGAAAGCCCACGGCUCAACCGUGGAGGGUCAUUGGAAACUGGGGGACUUGAGUACAGAAGAGGAAAGCGGAAUUCCACGUGUAGCGGUGAAAUGCGUAGAGAUGUGGAGGAACACCAGUGGCGAAGGCGGCUUUCUGGUCUGUAACUGACGCUGAGGCGCGAAAGCGUGGGGAGCAAACAGG
rnacentral:rRNA from 1 species